GUUUUUAUAAUUUAAAUUAAAAUACUGGUCUUGUAAAUCAGAAAUAAGGAUACUUUAAAAACA
rnacentral:tRNA from 1 species